rnacentral:rRNA from 1 species
AGGGCACCACCAGGAGUGGAGCCUGCGGCUUAAUUUGACUCAACACGGGAAAACUCACCCGGCCCGGACACUGGAAGGAUUGACAGAUUGAGAGCUCUUUCUUGAUUCAGUGGGUGGUGGUGCAUGGCCGUUCUUAGUUGGUGGAGUGAUUUGUCUGGUUAAUUCCGAUAACGAACGAGACUCUAGCCUACUAAAUAGAUCGUCGGCUUACAAACGCCGGCGAGACUUCUUAGAGGGACAGGCGGUGAUUCAACCGCACGAAACAGAGCAAUAACAGGUCUGUGAUGCCCUUAGAUGUCCGGGGCCGCACGCGCGCUACACUGAAGUGAUCAGCGUGCUUUUCCAACCUACUCUGUCAAGAGUGGGGAACCCAAUGAACCUUCUUCGUGAUUGGGAUAGGGGAUUGUAAUUAUUCCCCUUGAACGAGGAAUUCCCAGUAAGCGCGAGUCAUAAGCUCGCGUUGAUUACGUCCCUGCCCUUUGUACACACCGCCCGUCGCUACUACCGAUUGAAUGUUUU